UCUCCAUUCCUUCUCUCGCUUCCAGCAUAAACAAAUGGUUGUCGCACUUCACCACUCCGGUUAGCUCUGAUGAGAAGCUCUACUAAGCAGAUCAAGGGUUUUGGUUUUUUUAUGUUCCCCUCAUCGAUAAAGAAACUAACGUCUUACACUAUCAUUCCCCCCGCGACGCUUGGGUCUGGAUCUCUUCCCCUAACAACGAGACCUUCAACGGCAUGGAUGGAAGCCGUGAAGCCCUCUGUCCCGAUAACAACCCAACGACCAGUGGAGACCCGAAUGGCUAAGGCGGAGCCACCAAGACUCUAGUGUCGUUUACACAACUAAGGAAAGAUCGAGACCCCCUCUCUAUUCGAUAACUGCCCCCCAGUUCUCUUUUUUUUUUCUGCUCGAAUGAUUCCAUCUUUUUUAGCUUUCAUUCUCCACCGAAUCCUUUGUCGUUGUUAAUUUUCUGUGCUUUGGUGAGAUUUGGUUGGAGCAGGUGAAUAUUUAGGCGUAAUCUGAAGAUUUGGGUGCUUCAAGUGAUGGUGCUGCAAGGGUGUGGUACUUGGGCUUCAAGCUG